GAUAAAAAGGGACAUCCAACGUCUGAUGGAUGAAGGCAUGAUUCAAAUUGUUCAAUCUCGUCAUUUAGAUGACGACGUCAAUGUCAUAGUGCCAGUUUUCAAGCAACAAGAGCGGUUGGUAAUUCAACAUGGUAGUAGCAACAAUAAUAAUGACAGUUAAAGAUCAGUGUCGUCGUUGGUAAUACGGUUAGCGGGCCCAGUCUCGUAUUCAUCUGAUAAGGCUAUACAGUACCAGUAUA
rnacentral:lncRNA from 1 species